AAGACCUUGCGCUUUUGGAGCGGCCGAUGUCUGAUUAGCUUGUUGGUGAGGUAAAGGCUUACCAAGGCUUCGAUCAGCAGCUGGUCUGAGAGGACGGCCAGCCACACUGGGACUGAGACACGGCCCAGACUCCUACGGGAGGCAGCAGUGGGGAAUUUUGGACAAUGGGGGCAACCCUGAUCCAGCCAUGCCGCGUGAGUGAAGAAGGCCUUCGGGUUGUAAAGCUCUUUCAGCCGGAACGAAACGGUUACGGUUAAUACCCGUGACUACUGACGGUACCGGAAGAAGAAGCACCGGCUAACUACGUGCCAGCAGCCGCGGUAAUACGUAGGGUGCAAGCGUUAAUCGGAAUUACUGGGCGUAAAGCGUGCGCAGGUGGUUUUGUAAGUCAGAUGUGAAAUCCCCGGGCUUAACCUGGGAACU
rnacentral:rRNA from 1 species